UUUGCAUCUGGGAAGAGGUUGUGUCCAGAGGGGCUUCUUAGUUUUACAGCUGGGUCCACUCAAACCAGUCCGACAAGCCAGCAUUACAUAGAGGAGCCCAGCCAAACACAGGCACUUCAAUCACGCUCAAUUCACUUGGGUUCUGGUAUACCUCAGAGAUAUCGUGAGUUCAGUUCCAGACCACCAAAAUAAAAUGAAUAUCGCAAUAAAGAAGCCUGUGUGACAGAGCUGGCUGGCACAGAUGCUGACAUUACAUCACAUCACAAGUUUCAGCAUAUCCAGAGCAAAGAUGAGCAGGUGCUUGGAGCAGGGGUAGAACGGGGACAAUCCUGCUCUUGCCGUAGACAGAAAGUGGUGCUUUGACCUCCUCGUCCUGUUGCUGUGAUAACGUCGUGGGUCUCCCAGGACUGCAGGGAUGAACAGGACCCAUUGCUGCAGCCCCUACCCAGGAGCUUUUCAGUGCAAUGCUUGUGUCUAUAACAGGAGAGCACUUAGGGUAGAAGUUACAGAUUCACACUGAAACACAGCUCUUCCUGGGUCAUGAGCCUGCUGGUCUUCAGAUUGGAACUACACUAUCAGCUUUCCUGUGUCUCCAGCUUGCUGACUGUGAAUCUUUGGACUUGGGACUUGUCAGCCUCCAUAAUUUAUUGAGCCAAUUUGGUAUAAUAAAUCUCUCUCUCCCUCUCUCUCUGUAGGUAUAUAUUAUUUGUUCUGUUUCUCUGUAGAACUCUAGUAUAUCCCUUUCCCAGGGUUUGUUGUUGUGGCUAUUUGUUUGUUUAAUGACUUUCUUGAAGUAAUUCAUACAGUUGUACUCUUUGUUGUGUGCUGCCCAUGUAGUCUCUACUUGGUUAGUUUAGUGGUCAGCUAAUGAUUGAACAGACAUUUGCUUAAAUUCCAGGACCAAUAAAUCUCCCUCCCACACUUUGCUGAGAGGCUGUGUGUGUGUGUGUGUGUGUGUGUGUGUGUGUGUGUAUGUGUUGGGACACACCUUCAAUUCUAGGGAAGUUCACAACUCUGCCUUAGUCUUCACUUCUUGCUUGUACAGAACUAACUCUCAGCUAGAGUUGAGAGAUUAGGGCCUCUUCAGGUCUUUCCUGAUCAUACACACAGUCCUGCAAAUGCACAUGGCUAUCUAGAUUCCCAGGAGUAUGUCAAAACUUUUCAAAAUCUCCUACAGACCUCUAAUGACCCACACUUACCAUUUAAUUAUUUUGGUUAGCCUCUUGUUUGCCCCAGCUUGGAGUACUGCUUCAUGCAGCUGCAAUAAUAAACAAUUGCCACUGACUGUUUUCAACAAAUGGUUUGGGUAUUGAGCUUUUCUCAUGGAGUGAACUCUGAGUCAGGUCAAAUAAAGAAAAUCUUUCUAAUUUUUUUUAAGGGAGCUGACAGAUCAAACAGUGGUAAUUCUCUCCGUGUAAGGCUUUUGGAGGAGAUCCAAACCCAGCCCUGUUCAGUGGCUGCCAGGAUUUUGGUUUUCACAGCCACCAUGACUGUGAGGCUCCCAGAUUUCAAAGCUACCACAUAGUUGGAGAGAGGAAAACAGGAAUGGAGCAAGUUAAAACACCACAAAAUGUACUAUUCUUAUCAAAGUUUAGCCCUUUUUUUUGAAUAAAUGCUUCUCUAAUUGUUGCAAGUCUUUGGUUAAUUUCCAAAGUUCUGAAAAGGUUAAUUUUGGCCAUUUGGGGCCAGUUUUUAAAUUGCUUUUAUAUACAACAGAUUUUGUCAGGUUCUUACUCUGCCAGUUUAGAAGUGCUUCCUCUAUUCUGCAAGUUUUACACGUUCAAAACUUUUGUCUGUCAUCUUUACACUUGCUGGAAAUAAAAGUUUGGCU
rnacentral:lncRNA from 10 species